rnacentral:RNase_P_RNA from 3 species
UGAGGCGGUCAGGUAAUCGCGUAUGUCCUGUGCAAACAGGAAUGUACGAGGAAAGUCCGGGCUCCAUAGGACAGGACGCCGGGUAACGCCCGGAAGCGGUGACGCUAUAGAUAGCGCAACAGAAAACAUACCGCCAGCAAUGGUAAGGGUGAAAAGGUAGGGUAAGAGCCUACCGCGGUAUCAGCAAUGAUACUGGCAGUGCAAGCCUCGUCCGGAGCAAAGUCAAACAGUAGGCGAGUGGUCCGCUCAUGCCUACGGGUAGAUUGCUUGAAGGCUUUGGUAACAAAGUCGGUAGAUAGAUGAUUACCAUAAACAGAACCCGGCUUAUGACCGUCCUCUUUUU